rnacentral:rRNA from 1 species
AGUGAACGCUGGCGGUAGGCCUAACACAUGCAAGUCGAACGGCAGCACAGUAAGAGCUUGCUCUUACGGGUGGCGAGUGGCGGACGGGUGAGGAAUGCAUCGGAAUCUACUUUUUCGUGGGGGAUAACGCAGGGAAACUUACGCUAAUACCGCAUACGACCUACGGGUGAAAGCAGGGGAUCUUCGGACCUUGCGCGAUUGAAUGAGCCGAUGUCGGAUUAGCUAGUUGGCGGGGUAAAGGCCCACCAAGGCGACGAUCCGUAGCUGGUCUGAGAGGAUGAUCAGCCACACUGGAACUGAGACACGGUCCAGACUCCUACGGGAGGCAGCAGUGGGGAAUAUUGGACAAUGGGCGCAAGCCUGAUCCAGCCAUACCGCGUGGGUGAAGAAGGCCUUCGGGUUGUAAAGCCCUUUUGUUGGGAAAGAAAAGCAGCAGGUUAAUACCCCGCUGUUCUGACGGUACCCAAAGAAUAAGCACCGGCUAACUUCGUG